GUGCACGCUGGCGGUAGGCCUAACACCUGCAAGUCGCACGGCAGCACAGUAAGAGCUUGCUCUUACGGGUGGCGAGUGGCGGACGGGUGAGGAAUACAUCGGAAUCUACUUUUUCGUGGGGGAUAACGUAGGGAAACUUACGCUAAUACCGCAUACGACCUACGGGUGAAAGCAGGGGAUCUUCGGACCUUGCGCGAUUGAAUGAGCCGAUGUCGGAUUAGCUAGUUGGCGGGGUAAAGGCCCACCAAGGCGACGAUCCGUAGCUGGUCUGAGAGGAUGAUCAGCCACACUGGAACUGAGACACGGUCCAGACUCCUACGGGAGGCAGCAGUGGGGAAUAUUGGACAAUGGGCGCAAGCCUGAUCCAGCCAUACCGCGUGGGUGAAGAAGGCCUUCGGGUUGUAAAGCCCUUUUGUUGGGAAAGAAAAGCAGCAGGUUAAUACCCCGCUGUUCUGACGGUACCCAAAGAAUAAGCACCGGCGAACUUCGU
rnacentral:rRNA from 1 species